UCAGAGUAACAUCACACAAACAACAUAUUAUAUGACUCUAUUUAUACCGGAUAGCUCUAUCACUUCCAAACUGUUCUCUCUCUAGAACGGUCGAGUAUAAGAGGCCUUCCUUAUUGAUCCCGAGCUACAACAGGAGGGAACCGGAGUACCCGGACUUGGAGUGCUCGGUAUAGAAUCAAACUAAAAGCAUUCCUCUGAAAUGUGACUAAGGUAAAAUACUGAUGAGGAGACAUUGUAGGAAUCUAACCACAGCCAUGCACAGAG